UACAGAGGUCCCCGAGCGUUGUUCGGAUUCACUGGGCGUAAGGGGUGCGUAGGUGGUAGGGUAAGUUCGAUGUGAAAUCUCCGGGCUCAACCCGGAAAAUGCAUUGAAUACUAUCUUGCUAGAGAGUUGUAGGGGGGACUGGAAUUCUCGGUGUAGCAGUGAAAUGCGUAGAUAUCGAGAGGAACACCAGUGGCGAAGGCGAGUCCCUGGACAACUUCUGACACUGAGGCACGAAAGCUAGGGGAGCAAACAGGAUUAGAAACCCGUGUAGU
rnacentral:rRNA from 1 species